rnacentral:tRNA from 1 species
GGGCGGUUAGCUCAGCGGUAGAGCUCUCGCCUUACAAGCGAGCUGUCGUAGGUUCAAAUCCUAUACCGCCCACCA